rnacentral:lncRNA from 1 species
GGGACAGACGUAAACGUGUUCAAUACCAUCCUUACCACCAGAAGCUAUCCACAACUUCGCAGAGUGUUUCAGAAAUACACCAAGUACAGUAAGCAUGACAUGAACAAAGUUCUGGACCUGGAGUUGAAAGGUGACAUUGAGAAAUGCCUCACAGCUAUCGUGCGCCACAAGCAAACCAGCUUUCUUUGCAGAGAAGCUUCAUCAAGCCAUGAAAGGUGUUGGAACUCGCCAUAAGGCAUUGAUCAGGAUUAUGGUUUCCCGUUCUGAAAUUGACAUGAAUGAUAUCAAAGCAUUCUAUCAGAAGAUGUAUGGUAUCUCCCUUUGCCAAGCCAUCCUGGAUGAAACCAAAGGAGAUUAUGAGAAAAUCCUGGUGGCUCUUUGUGGAGGAAACUAAACAUUCCCUUGAUGGUCUCAAGCUAUGAUCAGAAGACUUUAAUUAUAUAUUUUCAUCCUAUAAGCUUAAAUAGGAAAGUUUCUUCAACAGGAUUACAGUGUAGCUACCUACAUGCUGAAAAAUAUAGCCUUUAAAUCAUUUUUAUAUUAUAACUCUGUAUAAUAGAGAUAAGUCCAUUUUUUAAAAAUGUUUUCCCCAAACCAUAAAACCCUAUACAAGUUGUUCUAGUAACAAUACAUGAGAAAGAUGUCUAUGUAGCUGAAAAUAAAAUGACGUCACAAGA